GCAAUUUUUUUUCAGAAAUGUCAAAAUCCUUUGGAAAUAUUUUGUACUUAAAAUGUGUUGUUUAAUUUUGGAAGAAAAAUAUAAUUAUAUUAUGUAUAUAUUUUUGAGAAACAAAAUGUCAAGUUAUUUUUUUUAAUCUAUUUCAUUGACUUAAAAAGCAAUAACCUAAUACCAAGUUAAUGUUAACCUGUGUAUUAAUUUUCAUCAUCAUUUUGUGAAUGAGAAAAUGAAAGUUUAUUGAAGGUGAACUAAUAUGACCGAGUUGUGGUCGCUUAUCCUUUGUUUGGCAGUCUUCCAUGACAAAUUGCAUCGCAUCAUGUUUAUUUUUGUCUAUUUAAUUGUUGUUGCCCAAAUGAUUUUUUUUGUAUUGUUGAGGAUUCUGCAAUGGUUGCGUUGAUUUUACAGAAAUUGUUAUUUUAUGCUGUACAGUACUCAAAUAACAGGAGGAUAGUUCUAAAAAUAAAGAAAAAUAUGCAGUUU
rnacentral:misc_RNA from 1 species